CGAGCGAGAAUCGUUUUGCUGAAGGCUUCGGUCCGAUGCAGAAUGAGGAAAGCGGCGAACGGGUGAGUAACGCGUGGGCAACCUGGCCUUAAGAAAGGAUAGCCCCGGAAACGGGAGUAAUACUUUAUGAGAAUAGAAAAGGGCAUCCUGUUUCUAUUCAAAGCGCAAGCGCUUAAGGAUGGGCCCGCGUAUCAUUAGCUAGUUGGUGAGAUAACAGCCCACCAAGGCAACGAUGAUUAGCCGGUCUGAGAGGGCGAACGGCCACAUUGGAACUGAGAGACGGUCCAAACUCCUACGGGAGGCAGCAGUGGGGAAUAUUGCGCAAUGGAGAAGAACUCUGACGCAGCAAUACCGCGUGAGCGAAGAAGGUCUUCGGAUCGUAAAGCUCUGUUAUCAGGGAAGAAGAAAAUGACGGUACCUGAUGAGCAAGUCCCGGCUAACUACGUGCCAGCAGCCGCGGUAAUACGUAGGGGACAAGCGUUGUCCGGAAUCACUGGGCGUAAAGGGCGCGCAGGCGGUG
rnacentral:rRNA from 1 species